rnacentral:rRNA from 1 species
AUGGAUAAUGCUCAACAAAAAUAUCUAUAUUACUGUAUGUGGAAGCAAAACACACUACUUGUUCUUUUUGUAAUGUUGGUCCUUUGGUGGAGCAAGAAAAAAGAGAGGAAGAAUGGAGCUAAACGUGUCAAGUAUGCUCCACUUGUGAAGAGAGAUGUUUGGAGGAGUAGUGAACUAAUUAGACUGAUCGACACCUCAGAACGGACGUGUUUGCGCCAGCUCGGGAUGUAUCCGACUGUUUUCUACAAGUUGUGUGCUUACCUUAGGGACAAAAAGCUUUUGGCUGACACGAUUCAUGUGUCCGUAGAUGAGCAGGUAGCUAUGUUUCUGAAAAUUGUUGCGCAAUAUCACACUCAUUCCUCUGUAGGAUUUGCAUUGUGGCGAUCCGAAGAGACAGUGAGUAGAAUGGAUGAGCAAAAAGAAGGUGCCAAGACUGAGGUUGCUCGCUCUCGUGAUAAUUACAUGUCAUGUAGUGAUGAUUGUACCAAGUAUAUGCUUGAGUGGUACAUCGAGAAACAAAGGGACAAGCCACCAACCUUCAAGUGGAAAGCACAACACCAUCUACAGUGUGCUAAUGAUUUGAAUGACAAGUUUGGAAUUACAGCUACAGUGAAACAAGUUGAUCGACACUUUAGGUCAUUCAAAGAGAAAUGGAAGUGGAUAAAGAUAGCAAAGGGGAGGAGCGGAUAUGGUUUCGAUAAAGUACUUAACAAAUUUAACAUUGACAAGUUAGAGAAAUCACCAAGCAAGCUUGGUAAAAUAAAAUUUAACUACCUUACUCACUCCAUCAAGUUUUAUCAUCUCCUGGAAGAACUGUUUAGUGACUCAUCUCAUGCAGAUGGCUCACUAGCUAUUGAUGUGAAUGAUGCAACUGAGAAUGUGGAAUCUGAUGGUAGUAGUGAAACGAGCAACCACACAUCCACUACCGAAAAAGGUCUUAGUGAUUCCAACAUGAUUGCGCCCAACAGUCCAGCAGAAGCCACUAGCUCAAAUCUGAAGCGCAAGCAUGUUAAAGCACCACAUAAGAAGAAACCAAAGGUCAAGGCGCGUUGA